GAGAGAGAAGAAGAGAGAGCCCAGGGAGGAGGGGCAGAGGGAGAGGGAGAGAGAAUCCUAAGCAGAUGCCAGGCUCAGCACAGCAGCUCGCAUACCACCUCCAGCUGAAAUCAAGAGCUUGCUACUCUACCUACUGUGCCACCAGGCACCCCAGGACCUCCUGUACUCCUGCUCGUUACCCAUUCUGGGGCAUCUGCUGAUGCUGGUGCUGUAAGCUUCAUGCCCAGUGUGGGACUUGAACUCAUGGCCCUGAGAUUAAGACCUGACCUAAGAUCAAGAGCCUGACAUGUAACUGACUGAGCAACCCAGGCACCCUUAGGGUCUUUUUUCUAAAUUCUUGGAUAUAUUGAUCAUACUUAGGUUUUAUCUGGAAAUAUUCAAGCAUAUAAAGUAGACUCAAAUAUUUAAUUGAUAUGAUGAUAAACAUCCAUCUGAGGAAUCAAAGCGGCCAGCAUUUAAAAUGCCUGAAAUAGUGAGAAUGGGGAAAAUUAAUAAGGCAGGAAACAACAAAUGUUGGAGAGGAUGUGGAGAAAAGGGAACCCUCUUACACUGUUGGUGGGAAUGUGAACUGGUGCAGCCACUCUGGAAAACUGUGUGGAGGUUCCUCAAAGAAUUAAAAAUAGACCUGCCCUACGACCCAGCAAUUGCACUGUUAGGGAUUUACCCCGAAGAUUCAGAUGCAAUGAAACACCGGGACACCUGCACCCCGAUGUUUCUAGCAGCCAUGUCCACAAUAGCCAAACUGUGGAAGGAGCCUCGGUGCCCAUUGAAAGAUGAAUGGAUAAAGAAGAUGUGGUUUAUGUAUACAAUGGAAUAUUACUCAGCCAUUAGAAACAACAAAUACCCACCAUUUGCUUCAACGUGGAUGGAACUGGAGGGUAUUAUGCUGAGUGAAGUAAGUCAAUCGGAGAAGGACAAACAGUGUAUGUUCUCACUCA